UGCCAACGUCCUACCUGACUUAGCUGG
rnacentral:piRNA from 1 species